rnacentral:lncRNA from 1 species
CUUUUUUUUUCUUUCUUUUCCUUCUCUUUUUCUUUCUCUCUCUCUCUUUCCUUUUUCUUUAAAGAAAAGAAAACGUAGCGUGAAGAAUAUCUGAUUGUCAUGUUUUUCUUCUGAAGAAAGUUUUUCUUCCCCAGAUCCUUUGCAAAGAAUGUUAAAUGCCUCACCCUAAUGCUGUAUUUGAACAUAUUCUGAUUACAGAUUGCACUUCAAUAUUAAAUCAACAUAAUGUCCUCUCUUUUACCUUUUAGCCUUCCAGAAUUUUGCUGCCAAGCCUUAUAUCCCCUUGUGUCCUGCUCGAAUUAGGCCAUACCUGUUGCUGCAGAAGACUUGGAAGAAAAAAGAAAGCAGAGCAUGAAAUGCACUGUUGAUGGAUGGGCUGGGGACACUGAAUUCAGAAGAUUUAAUUGCCACAUUGGUUUUGCUGAACAAAGGAGCUUAUUUCAUCCAAACUAUCAAAUCUGAAGGGUGAAUACAUGGCAGUGGACUGCUGUUUCAAUGCAAGGUCUGCCAAUGAGCAGGACUGGGUCCAAGUGCUGGGUGACAAGCUUUACUCUACAUGGGAAAAGAAGUAUAAAAUUGCCUGUCAGCAAGUUAGUGUGUCUUAGAAACCAUGCUAACAUGGGCUUGCGGCUUCUACAAGGACACAGAACCCAAGAUGAAAGCACUCAUCUGCAAAUGUUGACCAUGAGGAAGAGUGUUGUAAAGGGAGAAGCAGCAGUUACCAAAAGUAGGAAGCUGAAAAACUAUGAAGAUCCCAUUUUGCCAAUCCACAGCCAUCAAUUAACAUAUUACUAAAACACUUCCCAGAAAAAGCAGUCAGUAAUGUGUGCGUCUAACCUUGUAUGCAUUGUCUCACCAACUCAAGAAGAUUUCCACAGCUAUGUCACUGUUUAGUCAAAAGCUUUCAAGCUCAAAUUAGCCCAUGAUCAUGUCACAGUGAGCUCCAAAGGAACUCCUUUGGUCAUUUCAUGCCUACCCAUGUGAAGGAAGUGGAAGUGAAACUGCUAACUGUUGUCCAGAAGGAUGAAAACAUCGUUCCUUUGGCUCACUAGCUGUUCUCACAUAGGAAACUCUAAAUGUGUGGUUUUCUUAAUUGAUUGAGUCCUUCCCGUCCAAAAAAGAAAGAAAAUUCACAACAAAAAGCCUACCUGAAUCUAUGUGAAAUCCUUUGGAGUGGACAAAAUCAGUGCAUUUUUGUUAGUGCUUGAGACUUUACUUUUUUUUUCCAAAUGACAACAGAUAAAAUGAGAAGUUUUGCUGAAAUAAGAAAUCAUUCCAGGUCUCAAAUGACAACAUAUCAUUGUAAAAAUGUGUCAAAUCAGUCACAGGGAGCUUUUGGAAUGUUUAUAUUUGUUAAGGAAAGAUUUGGCAAAAUGUAUUCUAAAAAUGUUUUGAGUGCACUAAAAAUUUACUUCUUUAUACAAUACAGAAAAAAAUAAAAAUUUAAAAAAAAGAAAAGAAUUGGUGAAA